CUCUGCCUGCACCUGGUCAUCCACCAGCCAGGCCCCGCCUGUGGUCUGAGGAGACGUCUUCAUGUGCUGCUGUGUCAGAACCGCUGAUGUUGUCACCUGGAAGGCCGGAUUUCUGCGAGGAAGACCUGCUGAGUGGACACCUGGAUGUCUGCAAGUGAGGAGCAGAGAUUCGUCACCUGGAAGGCUGGAUUUCUGCGAGCAAGCUGCACAGGACCACUGAUUCGUCAUCUGAGAGGUGGAAUUCCUGUGAGUAUGGUAGUAUAUUUGCAACUCAUGUUAACACAUCCUUCCAGUGAAGACGCUUGCUUACCACUCUGA
rnacentral:lncRNA from 1 species